GCGGGUGUAGUUUAGUGGUAAAACCUCAGCCUUCCAAGCUGAUGUCGUGAGUUCGAUUCUCAUCACCCGCUCCAUU
rnacentral:tRNA from 1 species